GCAUAUCAAUAAGCGGAGGAAAAGAAACCAACUGGGAUUACCUUAGUAACGGCGAGUGAAGCGGUAAAAGCUCAAAUUUGAAAUCUGGUACUUUCAGUGCCCGAGUUGUAAUUUGUAGAAUUUGUCUUUGAUUAGGUCCUUGUCUAUGUUCCUUGGAACAGGACGUCAUAGAGGGUGAGAAUCCCGUUUGGCGAGGAUACCUUUUCUCUGUAAGACUUUUUCGAAGAGUCGAGUUGUUUGGGAAUGCAGCUCAAAGUGGGUGGUAAAUUCCAUCUAAAGCUAAAUAUUGGCGAGAGACCGAUAGCGAACAAGUACAGUGAUGGAAAGAUGAAAAGAACUUUGAAAAGAGAGUGAAAAAGUACGUGAAAUUGUUGAAAGGGAAGGGCAUUUGAUCAGACAUGGUGUUUUUUGCAUGCACUCGCCUCUCGUGGGCUUGGGCCUCUCAAAAAUUUCACUGGGCCAACAUCAAUUCUGGCAGCAGGAUAAAUCAUUAAGAAUGUAGCUACUUCGGUAGUGUUAUAGCUUUUUGGAAUACUGUUAGCCGGGAUUGAGGACUGCGCUUCGGCAAG
rnacentral:rRNA from 1 species